UAAACUACGAUUAGAUACCCUAUUAUUCUAAUCGUUGAUUUAAACUUAGAGUAGUAUUAGUUAUGUGCUUGAAACUCAAAGAAUUUGGCGGUGCUUUAGUCUAGUCAGAGGAACUUGUUCUAUAAUCGAUAUUCCACGAAUAAUUUACUUAAUUUGGUAUUAGCUUGUAUACCGCCGUCAGAAGGAUGUUUCUAGAGAAUAUAUUCGAGAUUUCUAAUUAGUUAAUAUGUCAGGUCAAGGUGCAGUUUAUAGUUAAGAAGGUAAUGAGUUACAAUAGAUGAUAUUUAAAUGGAU
rnacentral:rRNA from 1 species